CAGUCGCCGCGGUAAUACGAAGGGGGCUAGCGUUACUCGGAAUUACUGGGCGUAAAGCGUGCGUAGGUGGUGGUUUAAGUCCGUUGUGAAAGCCCUGGGCUCAACUUGGGAAUUGCAGUGGAUGCUGGAUCACUAGAAUGUGGUAGAGGAUAGUGGAAUUUCCGGUGUAGCAGUGAAAUGCGUAGAGAUCGGAAGGAACAUCUGUGGCGAAGGCGACUAUCUGGGCCGACACUGACACUGAGAGACGAAAGCUAGGGGAGCAAAUGGGAUUAGAUACCCCAGUAGUCCCUGUCUCUUAUAC
rnacentral:rRNA from 1 species